UGCUCGAUCUGGCAGCACAAUAUGCUAAAGUUGGAGCAAUACAGAGAAGAUCAGCAUUGCCCCUGCACAAAAAUGACAUGAGAAUUUGUGGAGUAGUCCAUGUGUUA